GGCUCGGCGCCAUCCUCCGGGGACCACUACUUGUUCUCUUUUGAACGAUCUCAUCGAGAGUUGCAUUGGCUAAACACUUAUCCGAGAACCGGGUCCUUUUCUGGGACAUAUGAGGUCACAUUUGGUAUCUGGGAGAGAGAGUAGUUCCCCAGUGGUCAGAUGUUGAGUCACGCUUCUCUCCCAGUCUUCCUCCACGCAUUAUGCACUGCCCAGAGAUCAUUUUUUGACUGGGAUAAAGACUACAGAGCCUUCUUGGAGGAGGAGACAGUAUGCACCCCUCUUGGUCCUGAUGGUCCAGUGGUAUGUUUCCCUUUCUUGAGUAUUUCCUUCAAAUUAUUUCUUGUUUUGGUUUUGACUGAUGUUCUUUCAAGUGAGAACACGACGUGUAGACCCUUCUAUUGUUCAGUCGCAUAUCAGUGCUAUUGAUCCUUCACAAGUGGGACCCUCUACCAAUGUAGGUGGGUCUCUCAGAGUUGUUAACAUCCCCUUCCGUGGCUUCCCCGCUUGGUGCUAUCCCAACGCAGCCAACCUCAGUCUCCCUCAUCUUCUGGAGCUAAAGAUAGAUGUAGAUGCUUCCCUUGAGCUGCCCAUUCCUUAUGAUUAUGUGAGUAUUUGAUCAUUCUUCAAUUGACACUUGACUUCCUUUGGCGGAUAUGCUCUUUCUUAGGUGUCUCCGGAGGUCAAUAUGAGAUCAGGAGGAUGCAUAACGGCCUGUGCGAGGCAAUGGCUGCUGAGGAUGGGAGGAUUGCUACCUUGGAGAGCCAAGUUAGUUCCUAUGAGCAGAAAAUUGCACAACAAGAUGUACUGAUUUAGGACAUGACAUAGAGGCUGGAGCAGACUAGACUAGCAUCUGCGGGUUCCCCGAUACUCCAUGGGGAUGAUUCAGAGUAUGGUUCAAAUGAUGACUUUUUACCCAUAGGGAUUUGUUCCUAUAUUUCUUAUAAACACAAACACAUGUAUAUUUUCCUUUUUCUU